rnacentral:rRNA from 1 species
GCUUAACACAUGCAAGUCGAGCGGAAACGAUGGGAGCUUGCUCCCAGGCGUCGAGCGGCGGACGGGUGAGUAAUACUUAGGAAUCUGCCCAGUAGUGGGGGAUAGCUCGGGGAAACUCGAAUUAAUACCGCAUACACCCUACGGGGAAAAGGGGGCGCUUGCGCUCUCGCUAUUGGAUGAGCCUAAGUCGGAUUAGCUAGUUGGUGGGGUAAAGGCCUACCAAGGCGACGAUCUGUAGCUGGUCUGAGAGGAUGAUCAGCCACACCGGGACUGAGACACGGCCCGGACUCCUACGGGAGGCAGCAGUGGGGAAUAUUGGACAAUGGGGGCAACCCUGAUCCAGCCAUGCCGCGUGUGUGAAGAAGGCCUUUUGGUUGUAAAGCACUUUAAGCAGUGAAGAAGACCUAACGGUUAAUACCCGUUAGCGAUGACAUUAGCUGCAGAAUAAGCACCGGCUAACUCUGUGCCAGCAGCCGCGGUAAUACAGAGGGUGCAAGCGUUAAUCGGAAUUACUGGGCGUAAAGCGAGCGUAGGUGGCUUGAUAAGUCAGAUGUGAAAUCCCCGGGCUUAACCUGGGAACUGCAUCUGAUACUGUCAGGCUAGAGUAGGUGAGAGGGAGGUAGAAUUUCAGGUGUAGCGGUGAAAUGCGUAGAGAUCUGAAGGAAUACCGAUGGCGAAGGCAGCCUCCUGGCAUCAUACUGACACUGAGGUUCGAAAGCGUGGGUAGCAAACAGGAUUAGAUACCCUGGUAGUCCACGCCGUAAACGAUGUCUACUAGUCGUUGGGGAACUUGAUUCCUUAGUGACGCAGCUAACGCAAUAAGUAGACCGCCUGGGGAGUACGGCCGCAAGGUUAAAACUCAAAUGAAUUGACGGGGGCCCGCACAAGCGGUGGAGCAUGUGGUUUAAUUCGAUGCAACGCGAAGAACCUUACCUGGUCUUGACAUAUCUAGAAUCCUGCAGAGAUGCGGGAGUGCCUUCGGGAAUUAGAAUACAGGUGCUGCAUGGCUGUCGUCAGCUCGUGUCGUGAGAUGUUGGGUUAAGUCCCGCAACGAGCGCAACCCUUUUCCUUAGUUACCAGCGGUUUGGCCGGGGACUCUAAGGAUACUGCCAGUGACAAACUGGAGGAAGGCGGGGACGACGUCAAGUCAUCAUGGCCCUUACGACCAGGGCUACACACGUGCUACAAUGGUAGGUACAGAGGGCAGCUACACAGCGAUGUGAUGCGAAUCUCAAAAAGCCUAUCGUAGUCCAGAUUGGAGUCUGCAACUCGACUCCAUGAAGUAGGAAUCGCUAGUAAUCGCGGAUCAGAAUGCCGCGGUGAAUACGUUCCCGGGCCUUGUACACACCGCCCGUCACACCAUGGGAGUUGAUUGCACCAGAAGUGGGUAGCCUAACUUUUAGAGGGCGCUCACCACGGUGUGGUUG